AUGAACGCUGGCGGCGUGCCUAAUACAUGCCAGUCGAGCGGACAGACGAGGAGCUUGCUCCUCUGACGUUAGCGGCGGACGGGUGAGUAACACGUGGAUAACCUACCUAUAAGACUGGGAUAACUUCGGGAAACCGGAGCUAAUACCGGGUAAUAUAUUGAACCGCAUGGUUCAAUAGUGAAAGACGGUUUUGCUGUCACUUAUAGAUGGAUCCGCGCCGCAUUAGCUAGUUGGUAAGGUAACGGCUUACCAAGGCAACGAUGCGUAGCCGACCUGAGAGGGUGAUCGGCCACACUGGAACUGAGACACGGUCCAGACUCCUACGGGAGGCAGCAGUAGGGAAUCUUCCGCAAUGGGCGAAAGCCUGACGGAGCAACGCCGCGUGAGUGAUGAAGGUCUUCGGAUCGUAAAACUCUGUUAUUAGGGAAGAACAAAUGUGUAAGUAACUAUGCACGUCUUGACGGUACCUAAUCAGAAAGCCACGGCUAACUACGUG
rnacentral:rRNA from 1 species